rnacentral:rRNA from 1 species
AAUGGGCGCAAGCCUGAUCCAGCCAUACCGCGUGGGUGAAGAAGGCCUUCGGGUUGUAAAGCCCUUUUGUUGGGAAAGAAAUCCAUCUGGCUAAUACCCGGGUGGGAUGACGGUACCCAAAGAAUAAGCACCGGCUAACUUCGUGCCAGCAGCCGCGGUAAUACGAAGGGUGCAAGCGUUACUCGGAAUUACUGGGCGUAAAGCGUGCGUAGGUGGUCGUUUAAGUCCGUUGUGAAAGCCCUGGGCUCAACCUGGGAACUGCAGUGGAUACUGGGCGACUAGAAUGUGGUAGAGGGUAGCGGAAUUCCUGGUGUAGCAGUGAAAUGCGUAGAGAUCAGGAGGAACAUCCAUGGCGAAGGCAGCUACCUGGACCAACAUUGACACUGAGGCACGAAAGCGUGGGGAGCAAACAGGAUUAGAUACCCUGGUAGUCCACGCCCUAAACGAUGCGAAAGUGGAUGUUGGGUGCAAUUUGGCACGCAGUAUCGAAGCUAACGCGUUAAGUUCGCCGCCUGGG